UACGUAGGUGGCGAGCGUUGUCCGGAAUUACUGGGUGUAAAGCGCGUGUAGGCGGGAGGCCAGGUCUGUGGUGAAAUCGCUCGGCUUAACUGGGCGGGGUCCAUGGAAACUGGUCACCUGGAGGUCGGUAGAGGCAAGUGGAAUUCCCGGUGUAGUGGUGAAAUGCGUAGAGAUCGGGAGGAACACCAGUGGCGAAGGCGGCUUGCUGGGCCGGACCUGACGCUGAGACGCGAAGGCGUGGGGAGCGAACGGG
rnacentral:rRNA from 1 species